UACAGGGGGUGCGAGCGUUAAUCGGAAUUACUGGGUGUAAAGGGCGCGUAGGCGGCAUUAUAAGUGCGAUGUGAGAGCCCCGGGCUUAACCUGGGAAGAGCAUUGCAUACUGUGAUGCUGGAGUACAUGAGAGGGUGGCGGAAUUUCCGGUGUAGCGGUGAAAUGCGUAGAGAUCGGAAGGAACGUCAAUGGCGAAGGCAGCCACCUGGCAUGAUACUGACGCUGAGGCGCGAAAGCGUGGGGAGCGAACAGG
rnacentral:rRNA from 1 species